AUAGUAACUCUUAAGAGUGUUCUGUUCUGUCUCUGAGAGUUCCUCAGUAAGACAGAGGCCCAGUCGCUCAUCAUGGAACCCUGAGGUGCGUGAGGACAUCCUGAGUGGAGGAUACCUCAGGGGAGCUGAAGGAACAGGAGAACAGCCCUGGCACUCCCUGCCCAGGCUCACCUCCUCCUGCAGAACUAAGCCAGGGCUGAGCAGUUCCUUGAAAGAGGCUGCUCUUUGAAAGCCUUGUACAUUUCUGAAGGCUGCCAAGAGAAUGUGUGGCUGAAACCAGAGUGGGGACCCGUGCUUCCUUGAGGUGGUGCCCAGGCACUUGGGCAAAGAGCUGAUGCAGAGUUCAUUUUGUGAAGCUGUGACCAGUUUUCCAGUAGACCGUGAGCUUGCUGAGGGAAGGAGGCUGCCUGUCUUUGAUCUUUGUUUCCGUGGGGUUUAGCCGGGUGCCUGGCACAGCAGCUUUGGAGAUGGAAGGGAUGGAGGGAGAGCAGAUCCUCAAACACAGCCUGUAUCUCUCCCUGUUCCCCUCCCCACCCUCCAGUUUUCCAGCCAGCAUCAUUUGCUCUAAGGCCCAGACUGUGGCCCACCUAUCACGGCUACCCAAGUAGUAUAGGAAGAGGAAAUUUGAAGAGAAAAGGAGGCACCUGGGAUGAGCACACAGUGAGAAAAGACAAUGUGAAAGCAUGGCAAGAAGACAGCCAGCUGCAAGCCAAGGAGAGAGGCCUCAGAGAAAACCAACCCUGCCGACCCCUUGACUUCGGACUUCUACUCUCCAGAAUUAUGAUAAAAUAAAUUCCUGUUGGUUAAGCCA